GGACCAGCAUAGCCUAAUGGUUUUGAGCACUGGACUAGGAUUAUGGAGAUCAGGGUUCAAUUCCCUGUUCAGCCA